GAUGAAAUGCAAUAUACACGCCUCAGUGAAUUAAAGUUAAUCCCAAUGAUUUAAUUAAUCAAGGUUUACAGAAGGAAACCGGCAAAGAGACGAAGGAGGAGCAAACGGGAAGACGGCAGAAACGCUCACAUAAGCAAAGAAGAGCUCAUCAGAACUACAACAGUAAUGAUCGAAAUGAUUAAAGACCAAGAACGGACAAAUAAGAUGUUAAUAAAAAUAAUACGAGAAAUGGAAAGGGCAGCAACCGAAUCCGAUGAAAGGACAAAUUUAAGAAAUAUGAUGGACGAGGUUGAAUCUUUAAUAAUUUAAGGAUUCAGCGCCGUCCAACUAUAUGUGUGAUUUUUAUGUGUUUUGUAACCUGUGUCACGCAGGACUCGUGUGCAUGCAGAAAGAGGUACCAGGUGGUGUUGUAACACCACGCUUGAGCAACUUGUGAUUUUUCUUUCCUUAUUAAUCCCUCGAGAAAUGAAGGCCACCUAUUCUAUAGGGUGGCCAUAGACAUAAGUAUAUGUUUUCCUUGUUAAAGAGAAAAGGUAACAAAUCUGUUCUAAAAGGAAUUAAGUUGAUUUUUCUUUUUAUGUGAUAGUAUGUUUUUGGGUUGCUUCAUGUCACGAACAUUUUACUUGCUUAAGAAAGGAAGUCUGUGCAUGAGUAAAAGGAGAAGUGAACGGAUUUAUGUCCGGAUAAGGAAAGAGGCUGAAAGUCCCCUGGUGCCAUCAUGGGGGGUUUGAGCACUAUAAAUGUAGGAGGCACAGUUAGAUCUGGGCCGUUCCUCGUGGUGCAGACUACUCGUAUUUUUAUUUCUGUUGCUGAUAUUGUUUGUUAUGAAAAACUUUGUUCAUUAAACCGAAGCCAUCUGUCUAUGGCGAUUCAUAAACUUUCUUUUAAAUAAGUCUCUGAGUGAGUUUAUUUAUUGAAACGAGAUAGUUUGUUUUUUGGACAAAUCAUAGACCAGCGCCUCAGAGCCGGAUCCAGCUGAGCCCUGCCCGGACACCGCCCAAGGUUACUGAAUACCUAGCAACGCACUCAAUUGAGAGGUGAGAUAAAGUCGAUUACUUUGCAGUGCUGGUUUGGUUUAUCUGAAUGUGCAUUUGUAGAGUGAUGCGGAUGGUGAAUUGCUGAAUUAUAUUGAGGCGGGGUAUUUUAGGGAAUACAGGCGGGAUAUCAAAUACAACAAUAUACUGUAAAUAACUUUCAUACAGUGUUGCAUGCACUGCAUGAAUAAAAAACUAAAUGACUUUGAACAUUAACAUUAACAUUGCAGUAAUGUAUGUAUGUAAUAUACUGUAACUAACUACCUUACCUUCAGAAAUGUAAACAUGUAAAUAUAAAUAACUAUCAAGCAAACAGAUGUGUCAAGGCUGUAGCCAAAUAGUUGCAGAGGUUGUAGUUAUGGGGCAUCUUGAUUGCGAUUAAGGUUGUGUGUUGUUGCUGCUGGUAUGACAGCACACUUCCAUACUAAACUUUGCCAAAGCCAAAAUCCACCAAAGAAUUGACAUGUGACAUCCUGAUAGUGGUGACCGAAGGGGCUGGCAAGGUCCUUAAACGCCUCUGCUACUUGGAGGACUGUGAGGUCAGGCAGCUUACAGGUGACACUCUUUUAAAAGGUACUCCUGAAAUGAAAAAAGGUAAAUUCCUAUCAUUUUAGUCUGUAAAAUCUUUCGCAGUUUUUUAUCAAAUACUGCUUCUUAUUACAUGGCAUUUGCAAUACUUCUAAUCGUCUGAUGUCCUGAAUGUCACACCGCAGCCUCAAUCUGGACAGGACUAUUGUUUUGUACAUUGUAAUGGAUUGUUCUGUAAUAACCACUCGUAUGGACUUUAUCUGUUACAUAAACAUUUUCAGUGCAAUGAGCCUGAUCUCAUACAGUAUGUCUUUUGUGAAGUAUAUAUGUGUGUCUGUGUGUGUCUGCGUGUGUGUGUGUCUGCGUGUGUGUGUGUGUGUGUGUGUGUGUGUGUGUGUGUGUGUGUGUGUGUGUGUGUGUGUGUGUGUGUGUGUGUGUGUGUGUGUGUGUGUGUGUGUGUGUGUGUGUGUGUGUGUGUGUAAAAUACUACAUUGCAAAAUUUUUGUGUUGUACCUUAAUACAUUAGCAAGCUUCCUUUCUUUGGGUCUUGCAGACAGAACCUCUGAAAAUACACAGUGGCCAUGUUAACAUUAAUAAAAAUUACAGCAAAGUUUGGAAUACUACAUUACAGUAAAAUGCAAAAUAUUAAAUACUGUUUUGCAUUAAAAGUUCAGCAUAAGUGUUUGUUUGAUUAACUUCCUUUGCUUUUGUUUUGUACAAAGAAAAAGUAGAACCUCAUCCAAAUAAAAAUAAACAAGCUGUUAAAGGCACUGUGUCCUACACAGACCCUUCAAAAUAUAACCACCCAAAACCCAAGUCAGUUGAAGAUCAACACAAACCAAAUAAAGAUGCGCAUUCUACAAACAAUAAUAAAAGAUCAAGUUUUGUGUGCAACACACUUGGAUGAGACGUGCCCGAUCCCUGACUUUGUCUACCCUACAUUAAGUUUAAAGAUCGGUAUCAAGAUGGUGUGAUUGAUCUAUACCCUGGCCUAGAAUAAGCUGUGACACUAUGAGACGGUCACAUAAUGAACAGCCAUCUUACAGACAACCGAAAGAGGCAUAGUAUUGUUUUCUUGUGUAUUGUCAUACACCUAAAAAGGAUUUUUUUAAUCAUACAAUUAUGGUGUUAUUCAUUCAUUAAUGUGUCCUUUCUUACCUUAAAUAACUUUUCAUUUUUCACUACUUUUGUUUGUAAUGUCUAUAUAGUAUUCUCUACAAUCCCAAAUUCUGGAUUGACGCCCCAGUACCAGAGGGCACCCCAAUCCCAGAGGGCACCCCAAUCCCAGAGAGCAUCAAUCUGAAAGCAGGUGAGGUAACACAACGAAAAAAUAACAGGAUGGAGACUACCUGAUUCUUCACCUAUGGCCUCAGCUUCAAAUGCAAGAAGCAAGAAAUGCUAUAUGACUGUGUAUUUUGCAUUAUGAAUACAUUAUGAAUACAUCAAAGACGUUGAUAACAAGGUCCAGCAACUGUCUGAGUUGGUGGAUAUUCUGUCAGAGACUGCGUGAACAAUGUUAUGAACAGAAUGAUGUCUAAUUGUCUUAUGGCAAAGUUCAAUAUGAGUGGUGGUGGACAUCUGGAAAAGAAGGCUUUUAAAGGCACACCUUUGUAUUAUGUUAUUCAAGAUGCUGUGAAGAGGUGGAGCCCAAAUGCCAGAGACUCAGAAAUAGAUGCAGCUAUGGCAGACCACCUCAAGCACGGUCCAGGAUGAGAGCUGGGGGUUGUGAAUGCACUAAAUAAGCCAAACAGCUCUAAUGUGUAAAAGAGAGUUGACCCAAAAAUGAAAAUUGUUAUAAUUUUCUUACCCACAUGUUUCAAACCUGUAUACAUUUCUAUUUUCUGCUGAACACAAAGAUUGAAAAAUGUUUGUAACCAAGCUAACUGUCAAUAAUUUUUUUUUACAAUUGUAGUAAUGGGUUGUGAGAUCUGCUUUCUGCUUUCUAUUCUUUUAAAUAUCUUGGUGUUCAGCAGAACAUAGAAAAGUAUACAGGUUUGAAACAUAAGAGAGAGUAAAUUACUAAAUAAUCAUUUUUGGGUGAACUAUCCUUUUAUAUAGUAAAGUAUUUUGAAAUUGUUAUUAUAGUUAAACAGUUUAAAAAAAAUAAAAAGUGCUAAAUCAGAACAUGCUUCUCUUUUUUUUGCUUAUGUCCACAAAUAAUGUGUUCUUUAAUGUGUUUGAAAUACACGUGAUUACAACGUUAUAAAGACGUUCAGGUUUGACUGGACUAAAUUUGUGUAUUUUAAGAAUCUUAAUAAUUGCAAUUACAAUUGUACAAACUAGCCUGUUUUAUAUGCACGUUUUAAUUGAGUAUAACGCCUAAAUUAAGCAGAGACUCAUAUUACCGUCCAGAAGAGGACAUUUUUAGACGUGCACGGACCGUGCAGAAAAGACGUGUGAUUCACGGUCAAAUGACGUCAAAGACGUCGGUUGGAUUUUCAUUUUGGAACUAUUUUUCAACCAUGACGGG